rnacentral:rRNA from 1 species
GAUGAGCGCUGGCGGCGUGCCUAAUACAUGCAAGUCGAGCGAACGGACGAGAAGCUUGCUUCUCUGAUGUUAGCGGCGGACGGGUGAGUAACACGUGGAUAACCUACCUAUAAGACUGGGAUAACUUCGGGAAACCGUAGCUAAUACCGGAUAAUAUUUUGAACCGCAUGGUUCAAAAGUGAAAGACGGUCUUGCUGUCACUUAUAGAUGGAUCCGCGCUGCAUUAGCUAGUUGGUAAGGUAACGGCUUACCAAGGCAACGAUGCAUAGCCGACCUGAGAGGGUGAUCGGCCACACUGGAACUGAGACACGGUCCAGACUCCUACGGGAGGCAGCAGUAGGGAAUCUUCCGCAAUGGGCGAAAGCCUGACGGAGCAACGCCGCGUGAGUGAUGAAGGUCUUCGGAUCGUAAAACUCUGUUAUUAGGGAAGAACAUAUGUGUAAGUAACUGUGCGCAUCUUGACGGUACCUAAUCAGAAAGCCACGGCUAACUACGUG